CCUACGGGAGGCAGCAGUGAGGAAUAUUGGUCAAUGGACGCGAGUCUGAACCAGCCAUGCAGCGUGCAGGAUGACGGCUCUAUGAGUUGUAAACUGCUUUUGUACGGGAGUAAACCCCGAUACGUGUAUCGGGUUGAAAGUAUCGUACGAAUAAGGAUCGGCUAACUCCGUGCCAGCAGCCGCGGUAAUACGGAGGAUCCGAGCGUUAUCCGGAUUUAUUGGGUUUAAAGGGUGCGUAGGCGGUUUGAUAAGUUAGAUGUGAAAGUUUGGGGCUCAACCCCGAAACUGCCUCUAAUACUGUUGGACUAGAGAAUAGUUGCGGUAGGCGGAAUUCAUGGUGUAGCGGUGAAAUGCUUAGAGAUCACACAGAACACCGAUUGCGAAGGCAGCCUACCAAACUAUAUCUGACGUUGAGGCACGAAAGUGUGGGUAGCAAACAGGAUUAGAUACCCUAGUAGUC
rnacentral:rRNA from 1 species